UACAGAGGGUGCUAGCGUUGUUCGGAAUCAUUGGGCGUAAAGGGCGUGUAGGCGGUUUGUUAAGUCAUGUGUGAAAUCCCUCGGCUCAACCGGGGAAGGACGCAUGAAACUGGCAAGCUAGAGUACCAAAGAGGGGGGUGGAAUUCCCGGUGUAGCGGUGAAAUGCGUAGAUAUCGGAAAGAACACCAGUGGCGAAGGCGGCGACCUGGGUCCAGACUGACACUGAGGUGCGAAAGCAUGGGGAGCAAACAGG
rnacentral:rRNA from 1 species